rnacentral:rRNA from 1 species
GAUGAACGCUGGCGGCGCGCCUAACACAUGCAAGUCGAACGAUCAAAGCACCUUCGGGUGUGUAUAAAGUGGCGAACGGCUGAGUAACACGUGGGCAACCUGCCCCUCUCAUUGGGAUAGCCACGGGAAACCGUGGAUAAUACCGAAUACUUCGGGACUUCCACAUGGAAGACCCGAGAAAGCUCCGGCGGCGGGGGAUGGGCCCGCGGCCUGUUAGCUUGUUGGUGAGGUAAUGGCCUACCAAGGCAAUGAAGGGUAGCUGGGUUGAGAGCCCGACCAGCCAGAUUGGGCCUGCGACACGGCCCAGACGCCUACGGGACGCAGCAGUGGGGAGUCUGGCACAAUGGGCGCGAGCCUGAUGCGGCGACGCCGCGUGCGGGAUGAAGGCCUUCGGGUUGUAAACCGCUUUCAGCGGGGACGAGGCGAAAGUGACGGUACCUGCAGAAGAAGCCCCGGCUAACUACGUG